GACAGAGGUGCCGAGCGUUAGGCGGAAUCACUGGGCUUAAAGCGUGUGUAGGCGGAGUGCUAAGUACCUUGUGAAAUCCCACGGCUCAACCGUGGAACUGCUUGGUAUACUGGUUCUCUUGAGCCACCUAGGGGCAACCGGAACAAACGGUGGAGCGGUGAAAUGCGUAGAUAUCGUUUGGAACGCCAAUGGUGAAAACAGGUUGCUGGGGGUGUGCUGACGCUGAGACACGAAAGCCAGGGGAGCAAACGGG
rnacentral:rRNA from 1 species